AGCGGCGGACGGGUGAGUAAUGCCUAGGAAAUUGCCUUGAUGUGGGGGAUAACCAUUGGAAACGAUGGCUAAUACCGCAUAACGCCUACGGGCCAAAGAGGGGGACCUUCGGGCCUCUCGCGUCAAGAUAUGCCUAGGUGGGAUUAGCUAGUUGGUGAGGUAAUGGCUCACCAAGGCGACGAUCCCUAGCUGGUCUGAGAGGAUGAUCAGCCACACUGGAACUGAGACACGGUCCAGACUCCUACGGGAGGCAGCAGUGGGGAAUAUUGCACAAUGGGCGCAAGCCUGAUGCAGCCAUGCCGCGUGUAUGAAGAAGGCCUUCGGGUUGUAAAGUACUUUCAGCAGUGAGGAAGGGGGUGUCGUUAAUAGCGGCAUCUCUUGACGUUAGCUGCAGAAGAAGCACCGGCUAACUCCGUGCCAGCAGCCGCGGUAAUACGGAGGGUGCGAGCGUUAAUCGGAAUUACUGGGCGUAAAGCGCAUGCAGGUGGUUUGUUAAGUCAGAUGUGAAAGCCCGGGGCUCAACCUCGGAACUGCAUUUGAAACUGGCAAACUAGAGUACUGUAGAGGGGGGUAGAAUUUCAGGUGUAGCGGUGAAAUGCGUAGAGAUCUGAAGGAAUACCAGUGGCGAAGGCGGCCCCCUGG
rnacentral:rRNA from 1 species